rfam:Heterocephalus glaber contig102683, whole genome shotgun sequence.
CAAAAGGUGUUUCUAAACACUACAGUAAUCUAAAUUAUGAUCUCAU